rnacentral:rRNA from 1 species
CCUACGGUGGCUGCAGUGGGGAAUAUUGGACAAUGGGCGAAAGCCUGAUCCAGCCAUGCCGCGUGUGUGAAGAAGGCCUUCGGGUUGUAAAGCACUUUCAGUGGGGAAGAAAGCCUUGGGGCUAAUACCCUCGAGGAAGGACAUCACCCACAGAAGAAGCACCGGCUAACUCCGUGCCAGCAGCCGCGGUAAUACGGAGGGUGCGAGCGUUAAUCGGAAUUACUGGGCGUAAAGCGCGCGUAGGCGGUCUGAUAAGCCGGUUGUGAAAGCCCCGGGCUCAACCUGGGAACGGCAUCCGGAACUGUCAGGCUAGAGUGCAGGAGAGGAAGGUAGAAUUCCCGGUGUAGCGGUGAAAUGCGUAGAGAUCGGGAGGAAUACCAGUGGCGAAGGCGGCCUUCUGGACUGACACUGACGCUGAGGUGCGAAAGCGUGGGUAGCAAACAGGAUUAGAUCCCCGAGUAGUC